UACGUAGGGAGCAAGCGUUGUCCGGAAUCAUUGGGCGUAAAGCGCGCGUAGGUGGCCUCAUAAGUCCGCUGUGAAAGUCAAAGGCUCAACCUUUGAAAGCCGGUGGAUACUGUGAGGCUAGAGUACGGAAGAGGCGAGUGGAAUUCCUGGUGUAGCGGUGUAAUGCGCAGAUAUCAGGAGGAACACCACUAGCGAAGGCAGCUCGCUGGGACGUUACUGACACUGAGGCGCGAAAGCGUGGGGAGCGAACAGG
rnacentral:rRNA from 1 species